CAUUACAGAAGGAUAUCGCCCUCGGGCUUCUCUUCUCACCCUUUGUUUACCACACGUAGUUGCCUUGGCGCUCCGCGCCAGUGGAUCGAAACUCCUGAAUCAUUGCCGUCUGAGUACUAUUCAAUAGUUAAAACUUUCAACAACGGAUCUCUUGGUUCUGGCAUCGAUGAAGAACGCAGCGAAAUGCGAUAAGUAAUGUGAAUUGCAGAAUUCAGUGAAUCAUCGAAUCUUUGAACGCACAUUGCGCCCUCCGGUAUUCCGGGGGGCAUGCCUGUUCGAGCGUCAUUACAACCCUCAAGCUCUGCUUGGUGUUGAGCCCGCCCCGGCCUGCCCGGGGCUCGCUUCAAAGUCAGUGGCGGCCGCCGUCCGACCUUCAGCGCAGUAAUGCUCGCCGCUGUUAGGGAAGGGUAGCAAGGGCCGUCAUACAACCCCCACACACAAGGUUGACCUCGGAUCAGGUAGGGAUACCCGCUGAACUUAAGCAUAUCAAUAAGCGGAGGAAAAGAAACCAACAGGGAUUGCCUCAGUAACGGCGAGUGAAGCGGCAACAGCUCAAAUUUGAAAGCUGGCUCCUUCGGGGCCCGCGUUGUAAUUUGUAGAGGAUGCUUCGGGCGCGGCACCGGUCUAAGUUCUCUGGAACGAGACGUCAUAGAGGGUGAGAAUCCCGUAUGUGACUGGCUGCCUGUGCCCAUGUGAAGCUCCUUCGACGAGUCGAGUUGUUUGGGAAUGCAGCUCAAAAUGGGAGGUGUACUCCUUCUAAAGCUAAAUAUUGGCCAGAGACCGAUAGCGCACAAGUAGAGUGAUCGAAAGAUGAAAAGCACUUUGGAAAGAGAGUUAAACAGUACGUGAAAUUGUUGAAAGGGAAGCGCUUGCAAUCAGACUUGCGCGGCGUCGAUCAGCCUGGGUUCUCCCUGGUGCACUCGGCGCCGCUCAGGCCAGCAUCAGUUUCGGCGGUGGGAUAAAGGCCUAGGGA
rnacentral:rRNA from 1 species